rnacentral:rRNA from 1 species
GAUGAACGCUAGCGGCAGGCUUAACACAUGCAAGUCGAGGGGCAGCAUAUUUGGUAGUAAUACUAAGUGAUGGCGACCGGCGCACGGGUGCGUAACGCGUAUGCAACCUACCAUAUACAGGGGGAUAACCUUUCGAAAGGGAGCCUAAUACCCCAUAGUAUUGUUUUUUGGCAUCAAGAAGCAAUUAAAGAUUUAUUGGUAUAUGAUGGGCAUGCGUGCCAUUAGCUAGUUGGCGAGGUAACGGCUCACCAAGGCUACGAUGGCUAGGGGUUCUGAGAGGAAGAUCCCCCAACUGGUACUGAGACACGGACCAGACUCCUACGGGAGGCAGCAGUGAGGAAUAUUGGUCAAUGGGCGGAAGCCUGGAACCAGCCAUGCCGCGUGCGGGAUGAAGGCCCUACGGGUUGUAAACCGCUUUUCCCCGGGAAGAAUAACCCCGAUGAGUCGGGGAUGCCGGUACCGGGGGAUAAGGAUCGGCUAACUCCGUGCCAGCAGCCGCGGUAAGCAUACG